rnacentral:lncRNA from 1 species
AAGAUGUAAAUUGUUUUAGUAACAGACUUAUGGGAAAAAUGUAGGCACUGAUUUGCAGUCUGUUAAUGAAUAACAAACUUUUAUCUAACUAUCUAUCUGUACAAUCUUAAAUCUCAUUAGGAUUACCUAUCUGGUGCUAUUUGUCUAACACAGGUCUGGAUGAUGUGGAUAUCUACACAUUUUCAGCUGAAGAAAUGGAAAUAGCAUAUUAAGAACCAAAUUCCAUAGGAAAAAAAACAAUUAAGAACAAACCAACAAAAAAGGAAGUGAGCAGAGGUUGGUGGUAUAGUCAAUAUUUACAGAAAUUAUGUAUUUUUAAGUUAUUUCUAGUCCAAAUGUUUUCAUAUAGGAUGUCUUGUCUUUCUGAAUUACCUUCACCUGUGCUCCCGCAGCUGACCCAUCAUUUGCCUCAGAUGGUUGGUUAAUCAGAGGCUCAGGCUGUGAUCAACAGUUUCCCAUACAGAUGUUUAGUUCUAAGCCUCAGUAGCUGGAAUGCAUUUACUGAGCAGAACAGGAGCGUAAUGUUUACAAACAGCAUUGCUGUAACAGUGUCUUUUAGCACAGUUAUCCCUUAGCAUGUAGAGUCACUCCACGUUGAAACCAGCAGUAUUCCAGUUUAUUUUGAGGAAUGUGAGACAGAUGAGUUUUGUGGAGUGAUUCCCCUGUGAAAGAGAGAACGUUGUUUGGAGAAGAGUAAUAGGUGAUGGAAAAUGAUGACCAAGGGAGUUAUGGCAGCAUCCAAAAUGUAAGCCAUGAAUAUUUCCCUAGUGGAAGAAGAGAGAAUCCUGCAGGAAACCUUACUUGAAAUAAACAGAAUUGUUAAGCAGCAGAGCUUGUGCUUUCAGAUGCGACAGGACCUCAUUUCAUUUAAGGUACCCUAACAACAUGAAUUAUUUCCUCUUGUUGAUAUUGCGAUAAGGAAUUUCUUUCUACCAGUUGGUUAAAAUUGAGUUCACAAUUAGAAGCACACACUUACUAAUUUAAUGUAUUUAAACACUUAUAGUUUAAUGUGUUUAUUUAGGAACUAUGGGUAGGCAUACUUAAUUGCUUCAUUUGUUUUUCCAUCUUGAAUACCAGUUGUGCCUAUGGUCCUGUAAUGAACUCUGUACGAGGAGAUGGCAGGACAGUUCCAUUGUUUCAUGCUAUAAAUUUCAAAAUGAAAGGGCCUUUUCCCAUAGCUGCUGUGAGUAGCUGACACUGAUGUUCUCCACACAGCUCAGUCCAGUCUGGGAAGUUUUCAAUUCUGGUUCUAAAAAUAGUAUUGAAUGUAAGAGUUUUGCAGGCAGGUUGGGCCAUAGGGUGGUGACAAUGUAGGUCCCUGUCCCAUCUCUCCUUGCCUUGCUGCCUUACAGGUGCCCAGUGAACGCUGCUGUCACUUAGCUUGAGAACCGUGUCUCCU